UGGGGUAUAGCUCAGUGGUACAGUAUAUGCUUAGCAUGCAUGAGGUCCUGGUUUCAAUACCCAGUACCUCCU
rnacentral:tRNA from 1 species